rnacentral:tRNA from 1 species
AGGAUAAUAGUUUAUUAAAACAUUUAAAUUGCAAUUAAAAAAAAUUGAAAAAUUUAUCUUA